rnacentral:lncRNA from 1 species
AGUCCAUCUUUCGAUCAAGAUCGAAGUUUCAUUUCUUGUUAUCAUCAAUCAUACGAUGAGAUGCUGACAGAGAAUGAACCUUCCUCUCCAAACCAAGUUGGCAAUGGCAUCUUCGACAUGACCUCAUCCUCAAUGACUGAUCAUGACUCCAAAUCCGGGCAACUUAAUGAUUGGGUAACUCUUGAUCGUCUUGUGGCAUCACAGCUUAAUGGGCAUGAAGUAGAGACAUCCAAGCAAUUAUCUUGCUUUAGUACUGACCCAAAUGCGAGUUUUGGUCUUUCUCCUGAUGAUGGCAU